rnacentral:tRNA from 1 species
GGGGAUUUAGCUCAACGGUAGAGCAUUUGCCUAGCAAGCGCAAGGCCCUGGGUUCGGUCCCCAGCUCCG